rnacentral:rRNA from 1 species
AUACGUAGGGAGCGAGCGUUGUCCGGAAUUACUGGGCGUAAAGGGUGCGUAGGCGGCGAUGCAAGUCAGAUGUGAAAUCCCCGGGCUUAACUCGGGGGGUGCAUUUGAAACUGCAUUGCUUGAGUGCAGGAGAGGAAAGCGGAAUUCCUAGUGUAGCGGUGAAAUGCGUAGAUAUUAGGAAGAACACCAGUGGCGAAGGCGGCUUUCUGGACUGUAACUGACGCUGAUGCACGAAAGCGUGGGGAGC